rnacentral:rRNA from 1 species
GAUGAACGCUGGCGGCGUGCCUAAUACAUGCAAGUCGAGCGAACAGACGAGGAGCUUGCUCCUCUGACGUUAGCGGCGGACGGGUGAGUAACACGUGGAUAACCUACCUAUAAGACUGGGAUAACUUCGGGAAACCGGAGCUAAUACCGGAUAAUAUAUUGAACCGCAGGGAUCAAUAGUGAAAGACGGUUUUGCUGACACUUAUAGAUGGAUCCGCGCCGCAUUAGCUAGUUGGUAAGGUAACGGCUUACCAAGGCAACGAUGCGUAGCCGACCUGAGAGGGUGAUCGGCCACACUGGAACUGAGACACGGUCCAGACUCCUACGGGAGGCAGCAGUAGGGAAUCUUCCGCAAUGGGCGAAAGCCUGACGGAGCAACGCCGCGUGAGUGAUGAAGGUCUUCGGAUCGUAAAACUCUGUUAUUAGGGAAGAACAAAUGUGUAAGUAACUAUGCACGUCUUGACGGUACCUAAUCAGAAAGCCACGGCUAACUACGUG